rnacentral:rRNA from 1 species
ACGGCUCAGUAACACGUAGCUAACCUAACCUUAGGUCAGGGAUACCCUCGGGAAACUGAGAAUAAUACCUGAUAGGAAAUGCCUGCUGGAAUGAGGUAUUUCUCAAAUUCGGGCCUAAGGAUGGGGCUGCGGCUGAUUAGCUAGUUGUUGGGGUAAAUGCCUAACAAGGCGAUGAUCAGUAAGGGCUCUUGGCGGAGAGGCCCUGAGAAGGAAUCUUAGACACUAUUCCUAGCCUUACAGGGUGCAGCAGUCGAGGAACUUUUACAAUGCUCGAAAGAGUGAUAAAAUGAGUCAGAGUGUUUCUUUUAAAGAAACUUUUGUUUGCUGCAAAAAGGCAGACGAAUAAGGACUGGGCAAGACCGGUGCCAGCCGCCGCGGUAAUCCCGGCGGUCCAAGUCGCAUCCACAUUUAUUUGGUCUAAAACAUCCGUAGCUUGUUCUGUAAGUCUCUUGUGAAAUCUUACAUCUCAAGUGUAAGGCGCGCAAGAGAUACUACAAAACUCGGGACCGGAAGACGCAAGGAGUAUGAUUAAGGUAGCGGUAAAAUGCGUUAAUCUUUAUCAGACUAACAAUAGCGAAGGCACCUUGCGAGUACGGAUCUGACAGUGAGGGAUGAAGGCUAGGGGCGCAAAAGGGAUUAGAUACCCCUGUAGUCCUAGCAGUAAACACUGCUCACUAAACAUCAGUAUCUCCUCGAGAGGCAUUGGUGCUGUAGAGAAGUCGGAGAGUGAGCUACCUGGGAAGUAUAGUCGCAAGGCCGAAACUUAAAGGAAUUGGCGGGGGAGCAC